rnacentral:lncRNA from 1 species
CAGCAGCAGCACCACCUCCAGCAGCACCAGCAGCAGCAGCAGCACGUGCAGCAGAGUCAGCAGACGGCGCGACAACAGAUGCCUGUGGAGAUGGCCUCAUACGCCGCCGCAUACAAAGACGGUAGUUCCGGCUCCGUCCCGCCGGCCGAGUACGUGUCGCCCGUGUGAGGGCGUGACCUCCGGCCCGGCCGGCCGACCUCUGACCUGACUUCCGGUCGGGCGCUCCUGCCCACUGAGAAUGAUCGCCGUCUGCCAUAGUGCAAUACGUCCCCUGCUGGCGACGACAACAUUAUUAUCUGCAAGGGGGCCUGACCGGUGCAAUGACCUUGAGCAAGGUCCUGCUUCGGCCGCCACCGCCGCUGAUUGGAGCAGCGACGUCCAAUCGGAGGAGCGGCGUUGUGCCGGGUGUGACCUGCAGCUGGAGAGCGCCGCGCUGCAGUGAAGACGACCCCGUGACCUGCUACGUGAAAGCUGUGAUAUCAUACGUAUUUGAUGGACCGGUUAGUCCUAUAGUGCAUACGUAAAUGUCGUGUAAAAUAGAGGAGUAGACAGACGUGCUGACGCCGAAUGUGUUGGCUCGGUACACGGUGAUGUGUUUGCGUGCGUAUUUGCCGUUUUCUCAUCGUGUUAAGUUGAUUGUGCCAAGGCAAUACCGUGGCGUUACACUGUUGUUGACUAGCUUGUCUUCGUUUGCUCUGCUGUUCCCUCCCGCCCGCCCUUAGCACCCAAGCUAUGGUUGUGGUCGGUGGAACUCUGUUCAUAAUUGGUGCCAUCAUUCGGGUUUCUUCGCCAUGCCUGUGAAGCUCGCUGUGACAUACGCUACCCUUGAGUCGCAUUCUUGACCCAUGCAAUGUUAAGCCAGGGGCGUGCGAGUUAGUGCGUCUAUUUGAACAUGAUGAUGUGCUCGCUUUGUCCCCGCAGUUGUGGAAGCCAUCAAUCUCAACCGCUCUUUCGCCAUUGCGAUACGAAUCCCACUGUGGCCAUGAUUUUAAGUACUUGACGAGCUGUCUUCCUCGGUCGAGCGCGCCCAGCACUGUCUCCGUCGCUGUUCAUACUGAACCGCGUCCCCCCCUCCCCCCAACGACAAGCCACGGCUGACCUUGACCCUUGACCGUCGUGACCUGCGUGCGUCGAUCGUCGGUGUCAACGCCAGGUCGAGGGUUCAGCCACGCUCGCGUUUCAGUCACACAAAGGCACUCAGUGCCGGUCGUUGUGCAUGGCUUUCACAGGGUUGCUUCAGCGCCACCUCGCACACGUCGUUACGCGUCGUUGCCCACCCAGACAAGUGUGACAGACAUCUUCCGCCACACAAUGACAAUUAUAUCUCACGCCAAGCUAUCCUGCAGACUGGAUCAGUCGCCCUUCGACAGCCUGCUACCACAGCCGCCUGACAUUGACCUGACCUGUGGGGCCUGUGUAUCCUGGUCGAAGAUACGAGCCGCGCAACUAACGUGUUCCUGCCGAGUCCUCGUUACACAUCCCGGUUCGGUACGUUUCUGUGAAUGCUUGUUCCCAUCCUAAGCUUGAGCGGCCGGUCUGCCCAGUCAUAAUGCUGCCAUUGUUCAAUGUACAUACGUGUCGAAUGGAAAAAUAUAACCUGGAAUGGA